AGAAAGGAGGAGUGGAAGGGAAAUGGCAGGCAGAUGCAGUCCUGAGCUGGUGCCCCCUUGCCUUCGCAGUCGUGCCUAGUAAACAGCUCUCUGAACUUUGGUACAUUUGUUCUGACUGAUGUCACUAUCAGCUGAUUUCACUUUCGUUUCCUAACUUGCCAGUGGCCCAUGACUUUUCAGAAAUGAGAGCAACUAAGAGGUCUUUCUUGGCUCUAUGAGAACCUGGUGGGAUUCCUGAAGAUAAAGUCCACAAAAAUGAAGCUCCAGACAAGACUAUGGCCACCAGGAGUUUCUCACUUUCAAGCUAGUGCGCACUCAGCCUCUGGCAAUUUGUUAAAAUCACUGUUUAAGUGUUCCUACCAGUUUAUGAUUCUAGCAGCUUCUGCCUCAGACAAGCAGAUCUCAGCAGUGACUCCCUGGAUUCGUCUGUCUCUUCAGAUUUCAGGGUAGUAGUUUACUUGUCAGCCUCAGUUCUCUGAUGGAUCCAAUAAGUUGCUGAUUUUUAGUUUGUUCAGCUUUUUUGUUGUUGUAAGGACAGGAAUGUUGACUUUCAAGCAUUAUUCAUGUUGCAGCUAAAACGAGAAGGCCCCUUAUUAUCUGUUUAAAUAGUAAGUCUAUAUUUUCUUCUAAGAGUAGUUUUAACUCCUACAUUUGUUUCUGUGAUCCAUUUUUUAUUAUUUUUAGUGUAUGGUAUAAGGAACACGGCCAACUUCAUUCUUUUGCAUGUGGAUAUCCAGUUGUCCCAGUACCAUUUGCUGAAAAGACUAUUUUUUUUCCCCAUCCAAUUGUCCUGGCAUCUUUGUUGAAAAAUCAAUUGAAAUAUAUAUAAAGGUUUAUUUACAUAUUUUCAAUCCUAUUUCAUUUAUCUAUAUGUUUACCCUUAGGCCAGUACCACACAGUCUCAAUUACUAUAGCUUGGUAGUCAGUUUUGAAAUCAGGAAUCCUUAAACAUUGUUCUUUAUCAAAAUUGCUUUGGUUAUUCUGGGUCCCUUGUAUUUCCAUAUAAAUUUCAGAUUUGGUUUGUUAGUUUCUGCACAAAAGGUAGCUGACAUUUUGAUAGGGAUUGCACUGAAUCUAUCAAUUUGAGGAGUAUUGCCAUCUAGCAAUAUUAAAUCUUCUGAUCCAUGACCAGAGUUAUCUUGCCAUUUAUUUAAAGCUUCUUUAAUACAGUUCAACUGUGUUUUUUGUAGUUUUCAGUUUAUAAGUCUUGUACUUCUUUUGUAAAAUUUAUUCCUAAGUAUUUUGUUCUUUUUGAUGCUAAUGUAAAUGGAAUUGUUUUCUUAAUUUCAUUUUUUAAAUGUUCAUUGCUAGUGUAUAGAGAUACAAUUGAUUUUUAUAACAGGUUUUUGAGAUGUAAUUCACAUACCAUACAGUUCAUUCAUUACAACUGA
rnacentral:lncRNA from 10 species